CACCACCACACGCACCUGCUGCAGAUAGUAGACUACGUCGGCGCCGCGUGGGAGGACGUAGUGCGUUGCACCGGCGGCAAGGUGCGCUACUUCAGCGAGUAGCGUGCGCAGUGCUUAGUGCUCCGUGCUCAGUGCUCAGUGUGCAAUGCUCAGUGCUAGUGAACUGUUAAACUUCACUGUCGGAACUGACAUAGGAUAUAACGCUUAGGGAAGUGUGCGCGUCGGAUAUCGCCGCUUAUAUUUUUAUUAUAGUGAAUAAAUAAAGCGAUUCCGAACGGUUACAGUAACAUUGGUUAAAAACUGUUCCUAGUGCGUGUUCAGAAUAUUUUGUGAACAAGUGUUUCGACGUUUUUCGUGCGAUGUGAAUUUGAUCGCUGUGUUUAAUGUUCUCUUUCUAAGUGAAUUUGGAAGCUUCGAAGUGAAUUGUCUCGCUCUAUCUAAUACUGUGUGGAGUCCUUGUUAGCGUUCUCGCUGUGAUUUAAAAAAUGUUUUCGCUAUGUAUAUAAGAGGACUAGAGCUUACGUGGGCAUUUAACUAUCACAUUUGCACCUAUAUGUAAAAAAAAA